CAUGUGGUUUAAUUCGAAGCAACGCGCAGAACCUUACCAGCCCUUGACAUACCGGUCGCGGACACAGAGAUGUGUCUUUCAGUUCGGCUGGACCGGAUACAGGUGCUGCAUGGCUGUCGUCAGCUCGUGUCGUGAGAUGUUGGGUUAAGUCCCGCAACGAGCGCAACCCUCGCCUUUAGUUGCCAUCAUUUAGUUGGGCACUCUAAAGGGACUGCCAGUGAUAAGCUGGAGGAAGGUGGGGAUGACGUCAAGUCCUCAUGGCCCUUACGGGCUGGGCUACACACGUGCUACAAUGGUGGUGACAGUGGGCAGCAAGCACGCGAGUGUGAGCUAAUCUCCAAAAGCCAUCUCAGUUCGGAUUGCACUCUGCAACUCGAGUG
rnacentral:rRNA from 1 species